CCGAUUGUUCUGGUUAGUUAAACCUGAAAUAACUGAAGAAAAAUUGCAAAGGGAGGGGUUCAACUCAAGAAGACUCUUUUGAACUCUCGAUGGCAAUAACCUCUCUUCAUUCUUCCUUGUACUCAACCCCCUAGUUUCCUUUUUCCCUCACCCCACCUUGGUCACAAGGUGAUAAGUAAUUAGAAAAAAAGCUGCAACAAAGUCUCUAGACUCUAGUGUUUCAACAUUGAUGAUUUUCCUAGCAAAUAGAUGACAUGGCUUUUGAAUCCCAUUCAAUAAGCAAGGCAAUUUUGCACUUCUCUCUGCAGCUACACUUGAUGUUUCUGAUCCCAUUGUGAUGUCUUCUUUGGUGCAUGUGUGUCUGAAACGAGACCAGAUUGUAGAUGUUCCUAAACUGUUUGAUAAAAUUAUUGACUUAAAAGCAAAAUCCAAAACCAAAUUGCACAGAUCAUAAAUAGCACCACUUCGUCUUCAAGUCCUUUCCCCGAAUUCUCGGUCUCCCCUCUCAACCUCACUGUUUCACCUCAUUCGCUCUUUCUCACCCUUCAGCACUACACCGUCCUUAUAAUUUUAGAAGAAAUGAAAGUAUUGAAAAUUUGUAAAUCAACACACUUCAUCAAAUGCUCCGCAUCAAGAAAAUUGUUUUUAUUGAACAAGGAAAAACUGAACUUGAAAAAAAGAAUGUUGUGCCAUGAAAGAGCUUUUUUCCC
rnacentral:lncRNA from 1 species